rnacentral:rRNA from 1 species
AACGUAGGAGACAAACGUUAUCCGGAGUUACUGGGCGUAAAGGGCGUGUAGGCGGUAUGUUAAGUCUGGCGUGAAAGCUCUCGGCUAAACCGGGAGAGGUCGUUGGAUACUGGCAAUCUAGAGGAUGGUAGAGGCGUGUGGAAUUCCGGGUGUAGUGGCGAAAUGCGCAGAUAUCAGGAGGAACACCAGCGGCGAAGGCGCUGCUCUGGGCCGGUACUGACGCUGAGGAGCGAAAGCGUGGGGAUCAAACAGG